AGAAUUAAAAAAAAAAGCUUAUCAAAUAAGCACUUAAAAAACUGGAAAAUAAUUGAUAAAAUAAACAGAUUAAUUUUUUGCACGAUGAACCAAGGUGAACGCUCAAGAACACGUUUCAAUAUCCAAUCCAAACAGCUCUAAAUCCACAGAGUAAACAUCCCACAAAAUCUGGAAACAGGAUAACUUAACAAGUUAUCUCAAAACCAAAAUUCACCAUGUAUAUAACAACAACAAAUUAACAGUAAGAAGGACG
rnacentral:lncRNA from 1 species